AGAGGAGUAACUUAAAAGGAAAAGUACUGGUCUCCAAAAUCAGUAGUUGAGAGUUCAAAUCUCUCCUCCUCUG
rnacentral:tRNA from 1 species